rnacentral:lncRNA from 1 species
UUUGCUAUUUUCUGAAUUAAAAUACAUCCUGGAUUUGUUAUUUCAGAAAAUACUAAUUUCUGCUUCUACAAUAUUCAACCAAAAUUCUCUGCGACCUAUAUCACAUAUUUCUAACCAAUUUUAAUAUCUUAAUCGAAUCAAUUUAAAAAUAUCAACACCAACAUUUUUGACAUAUAGUUUGGAAAGAAAAACAAAUCUGUACUCUAUUAGUUUACUGCUUUUUCUUUUAUAUUGUCUCCGUUUAACUUCUUGGAUAAGAUUAAUUCAUUGAGCCACUAAGUGCCUGUCUAUAUGUGUAUAGUAUUUUCCUAAGCACCAUGGAGGACUAAUUAGAAAACAACAUUCCUGGCAUUUGAUGCCUACAAUCAGUUUGUACGAAAUAAAUUCCUCUACAAACAAAUAUAGUGGAAUACAGAAGAGAGAAAGACUGGAAGAAAAGAGAUCACGUGCUUGGGGGAAGCAUCUGUAAAGCUCUAAAGAAUCUCAAACAGCCUUAUCCAGGGUCCAUGUCACAGGGAAUUGGGACCCUGUGAAGAACCAGCACUUACUGCCAGAUAUGGGAGUGAAAAGUUUUGGAAAUGGAUCUCUAGAUGCAAUCAAUCCUUCAGAUGAGUAAAACCCCAGCUGACAUCUUGAGCACAUUAGCUGGCAUAACUAUCCAGCUAAGCCACUGCUAGACUCCUGAUCCAAAGAAAUAAUGUAAUAAAUGUUUAUUGUUUUAAGCCACUAAUUUGCACUAAAGUUUUUUUGCAACAGUAGAUAACUAAUGUAGCUAUAAAGUGAGUCCAUUAGUCUAGUGCAAUUUUAUGUGUAAUCCUUUAUAUAAAUCAAAGUGUAAAUCCUCAGUAAAAGGUGCUGAGUAGAACCCUGUAAGGAGGAAAGAAAUCCAAUCCCAUAAUAUGUAUUGAUUACAAUCACUGUUUUUCUGAAGCAGUCAAAUGACCAUCCCUUAAAGGAUGGUGCUAUAUUGAGAAUUCACCGUAGGUUUCUCUUGAUGGCUGUUAGACAUUUGACAGCAGCAAUAGCUAAGCCAGCCUUGGAGACCUUGCUACUGGGCCAAUGUAUAGUAUAGCAUUCAUUCCUGCUAUCAUGGCUACUCCUUUCUUGUACCCAUUGUGCCAGCAAUGUGGUGACCAAUGAAAGAAACUAGCUGAUGUCAGCUGGCCAGGUCAUGUUGCUUACUUAUGAAUUUAGCCCCUGCUCUGUAGUCAGGUGAAAGGUACCCCUUUAGUUUGAAGGAGAUGUCCUAGCAGGUCCCAUACUACUGGGCCCCUAGAAAAAUCCACCGUUGUGGUAAACCCUGGAAUCUUCAUAGAGUUUAACUUCUAUCCUAAGAUAGAAGUUUUACCAAGACCUCUAGCACACUUGCCAUUUUUUCCUCAUUUAGUCUGAUUGACCUGAUAUAUUUAUAUAUUAGACAAAUGUGAUGUUCAUAGAAAUAGACAGACAGACCAGAUACUUUCGGGCUAUAUUUUGACUCAUGUUAUGGCCCAGUAUAUGGUCCAUCCUGGUGUAAAUUUUAUGUACACCUGAAAAGAACAUGCGUUUUACAAUUAUUUG